UAUAAAAUUAUAAAAAUACCAUUCUGUACCAUAAGAGUAGUAGCUGGACUCUAUAUUAUAUAUAUGAGUUGAGCUAAAUACUCCUAAAAGCACCAGUCUAUUGGUGCUUUUAGGUUUCUAGCUCUUAAAUCUAUCGCUUGAUUAUUAAUAACUUUUGGAUCAAAUACUAUUUCACCUACCACCACUCAAGCUAUUAUCAUCCUGACCCUACAGUUCCUCCGUCCAAGUACUACAAAUUUAGAAGCACAAAUUCGCUU
rnacentral:lncRNA from 1 species